UACGUAGGGGGCAAGCGUUGUCCGGAAUCAUUGGGCGUAAAGAGCGUGUAGGCGGCCCGAUAAGUCCGCUGUGAAAGUCCAGGGCUCAACCCUGGGAUGCCGGUGGAUACUGUCGGGCUCGAGUCCGGAAGAGGAGUGUGGAAUUCCUGGUGUAGCGGUGGAAUGCGUAGAUAUCUGGAGGAAUACCGGUGGCGAAGGCGGCAUCCUGGACCGGCAUUGACGCUGAUGAGCGAAAGCCAGGGGAGCAAAGCGGG
rnacentral:rRNA from 1 species